rnacentral:tRNA from 1 species
AUAAAGAUGGCAGAAUAGUGCAUUAGGUUUAAGCUCUAAAUAUAAAGAUUUAAUUCUUUUUUUUAUA